GACGAACGCUGGCGGCGUGCCUAAUACAUGCAAGUCGAGCGGAACUGGGGGAGCUUGCUCCUCCCAGUUUAGCGGCGGACGGGUGAGUAACACGUGGGCAACCUGCCCUGCAGAUCGGGAUAACUCCGGGAAACCGGUGCUAAUACCGAAUAGUUUGGCGCCUCUCCUGAGGCGCUACGGAAAGACGGUUUCGGCUGUCACUGCAGGAUGGGCCCGCGGCGCCUUAUCUAGUUGGUGGGGUAACGGCCCACCAAGGCGACGAUGCGUAGCCGGGCUGAGGAGGUGACCGGCCACACGGGAGCUGAGACACGGCCCAGACUCCUGCGGGAGACAGCAGUAGGGAAUCUUCCGCAAUGGACGCAAGUCUGACGGAGCAACGCCGCGUGAGUGACGAAGGUUUUCGGAUCGUAAAACUCUGUUGUGAGGGAAGAACACGUACCAACUAACUAUUGGUACCUUGACGGUACCUCACCAGAAAGCCACGGCUAACUACGUGCCAGCCGCCGCGGUAA
rnacentral:rRNA from 1 species